GUGCUGUGUGGUGUUAAUGUUGUUGCCAAUCAUCAGACUAAAUCUGAGGUGUCUACAGUUGCUUGGCUUGAGUGGGAGUCACUGGCUUGUUUUCCUUGAGCAAACCACUUACUGUGGGGGACACGGGGGUAUGAAUAAAGCCGGUCAAGAGUCUGCAGCGGGAGAUGGCAGCUGCACCGUCAGCCGUUUUACCUCGCGCCGAUGCGUUCGAACAGACGACGCCGGGGUAUGAGGGUAAUUUUUCAUUUGAUUUGAGAAUUCCACACUCGGAUCAGUGCGCACAGGCGUUACAGUGUCCACCUAGCCAGCAGAAACUAAACCUGUGAACCGUGUACCAGUUUACUCAGACAGACAGCAAGGUCAGAGGAACUGGACUCGCUCACAGCAGCUCACUCUGCAAGGCCUUCGAAACAAGCAAAUCCUUUUGUGCCAAAGUAGAUGAGAUCAGGUGUUUUCCCAUCAUUCCUCGUGUGCUGCUUUGACGUGAACAUUAUCGGGAACAUGGCUGUCACGGUGUGGGCACGCCCCGGAGAGGACGUUACCCAAGACUUACCUGCCUGCCCACUCACCACCUUCACACCAUUCACCCUUCUGAAAGCCAGCCUGCCCUCCAAAGACCCCUGGAGCCUCCAAAGCUCCCGGUUGUGUCGCUGCUGUCAAAACAAAGUCUCAGUUUUCAGAUUUGUUCCUUAUUGAGAACUGGCUGUUUUUAAUAAAACUUUUAAACUACCAA